GGCACGACCCGCCCGGUGAGCCUUCUGCCAGCAGCUGUGUGUCCGCCACACCAAGAACUGCCCGUGUGUGCCAGUCACCCUGUUCAGAGAAACUAACUGAUAACGUGCAUCAUUUAAAGGAAUGACUUGUGAUCAAAUAUGCUUUAUGUUUUUCAUCAAAGAAAAUUGUACUUAAGAAUUGCCAUUUAGGGGGGCGUCUGGGCGGCUCAGUGGGUUGAGUGUCUAACUCUUGAUUUUGUCCCGGGUUAUGAUCUCACGGUCCAUGAUUUUGAGCCUGUGUCGGGCUCCGUGCGGAUGGGGCAGAACCUGCUUGGGCUUCCCUCUAUCCCUCCGCCGCUCAUGCUUGCUCUCUCUCUCUCAAAAUAAAUAAAUAAACUUAAAAAAAUAAAAUAAAAUCGUUCCUUGAAUUGUCCAGGUUCUAAAAUGUAUACAAAUUAAAUUUACUCCUUGCAGAGGUAUUUUGCUGAAGCAAAUGUAAAAAAGGUGGUUUCCAUAGCCCCCAGAUAUUCUUUUUUUUUUAAGUUUAUAUAUUUAUUUUGACAGAGACAGAGUGUGAGUGGGGGUGGGGAGAGAGAGAGGGGGAGAGAAUCCUAAGCAGCCAGCGCAGAGCCUGACUCAGGGCUCGAACUCCCAAGACUGUGAGAUCAUGACCUGAGCCGAGGUCCGACGCUCAACCAACUGAGGCACCCGGGAGCCCCUUUUUAAAAAAAAAAUUUUUUUUUAAUGGCCUUCAAAUAUUCUUGAUUGGAUUUGUACGUCUUGUGUCCUAGAGGUCAUCCAUUCUAAAUAAUGGUGAUGUGACUUUUUUUUUUUUUUACAUUUAUUUUUGAGAGAGAGAGUGUGAGCAGGGGAGGGGCAGAGAGAGAGCAUAUGCUCUCGAGAGAGGGAGACACAUAAUCCAAAGCAGGCUCCAAGCUGUCAGCACAGAACCUGAUGUGGGGCUCGAACCCGCGAACCGCGAGACCACGACCCGAGCCAAAGUCGGACGCUUAACCAACUGAGCCACCCAGGCACCCCAGUGAUGUGGUGACUUCUAACCGUCACGGUAAAGGAUGGCUGCAGGCCCCUCUUCACUUUGUUGUAUCGGAUGAUCUCUCACGCGGUGUUUGCCUAAGGAUGUUACAUGGGUAGGUGUUGCUUGCUUAGAGGGGUCUAUCAGUUGCCUACGUUUGGGAAAUGCUGUCAGGCGGGUUUCCUUGCUGUUGGACUUCCCAGAACCUUUAGCAGACUGUGUUGAAGAGUUGCCGGGGGCGUGUGGUGGGGGAUAAUAACCCACAUUCAUCCAACUCACUUUACCGUGGGCUCUUUUCAUGACCCCACUGUGCCAUAGAGCAGUUUGGGAAAUGCUGUUACCUCCACGUGGUAGAAAAAGAAAAAUACGAUUGAGUACAAAAAAGAAUAGGUUAACAUGACCUAAAAAUACUGCGUCUGUGGGAUCGGUAGUCUUAAUCCUUUUGUGUAUAUCUCCAGAUGCUUUUGCCUUGUAAAAAUGUAUAAUCAUAGUCAAAGUUUGAAACAAAAUAAAAUUUUAUACAAGUUG